GAUGAACGCUGGCGGCGUGCUUAACACAUGCAAGUCGAACGAUGAAGCCCAGCUUGCUGGGUGGAUUAGUGGCGAACGGGUGAGUAACACGUGAGUAACCUGCCCUUAACUCUGGGAUAAGCCUGGGAAACUGGGUCUAAUACCGGACAGGAGCGUCCACCGCAUGGUGGGUGUUGGAAAGAUUUAUCGGUUUUGGAUGGACUCGCGGCCUAUCAGCUUGUUGGUGAGGUAAUGGCUCACCAAGGCGACGACGGGUAGCCGGCCUGAGAGGGUGACCGGCCACACUGGGACUGAGACACGGCCCAGACUCCUACGGGAGGCAGCAGUGGGGAAUAUUGCACAAUGGGCGCAAGCCUGAUGCAGCGACGCCGCGUGAGGGAUGACGGCCUUCGGGUUGUAAACCUCUUUCAGUAGGGAAGAAGCGAAAGUGACGGUACCUGCAGAAGAAGCACCGGCUAACUACGUG
rnacentral:rRNA from 1 species